rnacentral:rRNA from 1 species
ACCUGCCCUUAACUCUGGGAUAAGCCUGGGAAACUGGGUCUAAUACCGGAUAGGAGCGUCCACCGCAUGGUGGGUGUUGGAAAGAUUUUCGGUUUUGGAUGGACUCGCGGCCUAUCAGCUUGUUGGUGAGGUAAUAGCUCACCAAGGCGACGACGGGUAGCCGGCCUGAGCGGGUGACCGGCCACACUGGGACUGAGACACGGCCCAGACUCCUACGGGAGGCAGCAGUGGGGAAUAUUGCACAAUGGGCGCAAGCCUGAUGCAGCGACGCCGCGUGAGGGAUGACGGCCUUCGGGUUGUAAACCUCUUUCAGUAGGGAAGAAGAAAUGACGGUACCUGCAGAAGAAGCACCGGCUAACUACGUGCCAGCAGCCGCGGUAAUACGUAGGGUGCGAGCGUUAUCCGGAAUUAUUGGGCGUAAAGAGCUCGUAGGCGGUUUGUCGCGUCUGUCGUGAAAGUCCGGGGCUUAACCCCGGAUCUGCGGUGGGUACGGGCAGACUAGAGUGCAGUAGGGGAGACUGGAAUUCCUGGUGUAGCGGUGGAAUGCGCAGAUAUCAGGAGGAACACCGAUGGCGAAGGCAGGUCUCUGGGCUUUAACUGACGCUGAGGAGCGAAAGCAUCGGGAGCGAACAGGAUUAGAUACCCUGGUAGUCCAUGCCGUAAACGUUGGGCACUAGGUGUGGGGACCUUCCACGGUUUCGCGCCGCAGCUAACGCAUUAAGUGCCCCGCCUGGGGAGUACGGCCGCAAGGCUAAAACUCAAAGGAAUUGACGGGGGCCCGCACAAGCGGCGGAGCAUGCGGAUUAAUUCGAUGCAACGCGAAGAACCUUACCAAGGCUUGACAUGUCUCGAUCGCCGUAGAGAUACGGUUUCCCUUUGGGCGGGUUCACAGGUGGUGCAUGGUUGUCGUCAGCUCGUGUCGKGAGAUGUUGGGUUAAGUCCCGCAACGAGCGCAACCCUCGUUCCAUGUUGCCAGCACUCGUGUGGGGACUCAUGGGAGACUGCCGGGGUCAACUCGGAGGAAGGUGAGGACGACGUCAAAUCAUCAUGCCCCUUAUGUCUUGGGCUUCACGCAUGCUACAAUGGCCGGUACAAUGGGUUGCGAUACUGUGAGGUGGAGCUAAUCCCAAAAAGCCGGUCUCAGUUCGGAUUGGGGUCUGCAACUCGACCCCAUGAAGUCGGAGUCGCUAGUAAUCGCAGAUCAGCACGCUGCGGUGAAUACGUUCCCGGGCCUUGUACACACCGCCCGUCAAGUCACGAAAGUUGGUAACACCCGAAGCCGGUGGCCUAACC